AUUGAACGCUGGCGGCAUGCCUUACACAUGCAAGUCGAACGGCAGCGGGCCUUCGGGUGCCGGCGAGUGGCGAACGGGUGAGUAAUGCAUCGGAACGUGCCAUUGAGUGGGGGAUAACGUAGCGAAAGUUGCGCUAAUACCGCAUAUUCUGUGAGCAGGAAAGCAGGGGACCGCAAGGCCUUGCGCUCUUUGAGCGGCCGAUGUCAGAUUAGCUAGUUGGUGAGGUAAAGGCUUACCAAGGCGACGAUCUGUAGCGGGUCUGAGAGGAUGAUCCACCACACUGGAACUGAGACACGGUCCGGACUCCUACGGGAGGCAGCAGUGGGGAAUUUUGGACAAGUGGGGC
rnacentral:rRNA from 1 species